GGGGGAAUAUUGCACAAUGGGCGAAAGCCUGAUGCAGCGACGCCGCGGGAGGGAUGACGGCCUUCGGGUUGAAAACCUCUUUCAGCAGAGACGAAGAGCAAGUGACGGUACCUGCAGAAGAAGCACCGGCUAACUACGUGCCAGCAGCCGCGGUAAUACGUAGGGUGCAAGCGUUGUCCGGAAUUACUGGGCGUAAAGAGUUCGUAGGCGGUUUGUCGCGUCGUUUGUGAAAACCAGCAGCUCAACUGCUGGCUUGCAGGCGAUACGGGCAGACUUGAGUACUGCAGGGGAGACUGGAAUUCCUGGUGUAGCGGUGAAAUGCGCAGAUAUCAGGGGGAACACCGGUGGCGAAGGCGGGUCUCUGGGCAGUAUCUGACGCUGGGGAACGAGAGCGUGGGUAGCGAACAGG
rnacentral:rRNA from 1 species